rnacentral:rRNA from 1 species
GACGAACGCUGGCGGCGUGCUUAACACAUGCAAGUCGAACGGAAAGGCCCUGCUUGCAGGGUACUCGAGUGGCGAACGGGUGAGUAACACGUGGGUGAUCUGCCCUGCACUUCGGGAUAAGCCUGGGAAACUGGGUCUAAUACCGGAUAGGAGCCAUUUUUAUUGUGAUGGUUGGAAAGUUUUUUCGGUGUAGGAUGAGCUCGCGGCCUAUGAGCUUGUUGGUGGGGUAAUGGCCUACCAAGGCGGCGACUGGUAGCCGGCCUGAGAGGGUGGACGGCCACAUUGGGACUGAGAUACGGCCAAGACUCCUACGGGAGGCAGCAGUGGGGAAUAUUGCACAAUGGGAGCGAGCCUGAUGCAGCGACGCCGCGUGGGGGAUGACGGCCUUCGGGUUGUAAACUCCUUUCGCUAGGGACGAAGCUUUUUGUGACGGUACCUAGAUAAGAAGCACCGGCUAACUACGUG